rnacentral:tRNA from 2 species
GCUCCCAUAGUUUAAUGGAUAGAACAGAGGUUUCCUAAACCUCUAAUCCAGGUUCGACUCCUGGUGGGGGCACCC